CGCUCUUGCCACUCUAUUGUAUAAGAGGUCCCACCUGCCCUGUGACCAAAAGUUUAACGGCCGCGGUAUCCUAACCGUGCGAAGGUAGCGCAAUCAAUUGCCUUUUAAAUGAAGGCCUGUAUGAAUGGUAUAACGAGGGUUUAACUGUCUCUUUUUUCCAGUCAGUUAAAUUGAUCUGUCCGUGCAGAAGCGGACAUAAUAAUACAAGACGAGAAGACCCUAUGGAGCUUUAGACACCAACCAACCAUGAAAAGCAAUAAAUUAUUUAUAUUCCAAACACCCAUGGGAACUGGCAUAAUAGUCUUAGGUUGGGGCGACCACGGGAGAUAGCAAAGCUCCCGAGCAGACCAGGGAAAUCCUGAAACCAAGAGUUACAACUCUAAGUCACAAAAAUUUUGACUGAAAUGAUCCGGCCAAAGCCGAUUAACGAACCAAGUUACCCUAGGGAUAACAGCGCAAUCCCCUUUCAGAGUCCAUAUCGACAAGGGGGUUUACGACCUCGAUGUUGGAUCAGGACAUCCUAAUGGUGCAGCCGCUAUUAAGGGUUCGUUUGUUCAACGAUUAAAGUC
rnacentral:rRNA from 1 species